rnacentral:lncRNA from 1 species
GAAGCCAGCACAACAUUGUGACUUGGCACCAUCAGUUUUCUCAAGCACUUUUUUCUUAUCAACAACAGAAAAAAGCGCAGUAUUCAAGUCCUGAGUGAGAAGUGAACUUGAAGCACGCUGGGAGAGCCUGGGGAGGAGGAAGAUAGUGCGUUGGUCCUUGAGGUUGUAUUGUUGCCUGUAUAACUAUGAUGAAUGAGGUGCCCCAGCACAGGAAUUUUAAAACAUGUCAUGGAAUAUUCUGCAUGGGAAGAAAGACGGAAAUACAAUUUUAGAUGAUGCAAGUCUCAAGUUACUUAUGACAAUUCUUAGAAUGUUUUGGGAACGUCUGGAAUAGUUGACAGUUGAGUUUUGCUUCACAUGGAGUCAUCCUGUCUUCCCAAUCAGUAAAGCAGCUGAUAACUGUUGGCCACCGUUGGGAAUAUGCAUUAAUCAGAUCAUUCAUCAACAUUUGAGGAUCCAACUGUGUUAAUGGUCACCUUUACUAACAGUAAUGUACAGCAUCAAAUAAAAUUCCUGUCCCUUAUGA